rnacentral:misc_RNA from 1 species
AGCGAGAUUGCAAAGGAGCUAGAAGAACAGCCUUCAGGGGAUUCUGAUUUCAAUCGGAUUCAGCUUCUAAAUUCUCAAUCCUAAUCUGUUUUUCGAGGGAGCAAUUAUGGAAGAUUCGUCCUCUCAAUCCUUCUUCAGGAGGCACUGGGAAGGCUACAAGGAAUUUUGGUCCGAGAGAUUCUCCAUCCUCGACAACUAUUCCCCCUUCAUCCAGCGCCAGGCCCCUCUUCCUCCAUGGUCUUCCUCCGAUGUCGAGGAAUUCAUUGCUUCCGACCCCGUUCAUGGCCCCGUUUUGAAGACUGCCAAAGAAGCUGUAAACUUUGGUCUUACAGGAAGUGUUAUUGGAGCUGUAUCAACUGCAGGUGUUACAUGGAAAUACUCAAGAAGUCUACAUGGCACUGGACUGUCAUUCCUGGCGGGAGGUGUAUUCGGUUGGACUUUCGGCCAUGAGAUUGCAAAUCAUUGGUAUCAACUCUACAGGGUGGACAUCAUGGGUGCACAAGUUAAGUUUAUGGAAUGGUGGAGAAACAAGAAUGAGGGACGUUUUUAAAACUCUGAGUUUGCAGUUGAAGGCAGCACACACACUGCAGCUGCCAUCUAAUAAAAACGUAAGUGCAACUUUGUUGAAAUACAAUGGUUGAUUGGUUUGUUUUGUGCUGAACUCUUCCAACCCCAAGUUUAGAAAAUGACUGUAUCCUUUUCUAUAUUCUGGAAAUGACUUGUUCCUUUGCAAGCUUGUUAGAAAUGUAGUCAUCUUUACCAAAUGCUUCCUGAUCCUGGGUGUUGAGUUAGGGUCUAAAGCAUGUCCAGACUGAAUACACUUGUCUUGUUUAAACAUUGCCUCAAAAGUUACCAAUGUUACUUUUGUUCUCUUUAAAAUGUUUUAAAACUAUCCUUUGG